UAUCCAAAUACGUGUUAUAUCGGGUUGCGUUAUAUCGGGGUAGAGGUGCAUUUUUAAUGAAAGCUUUAAUCUGCAGAUACCGAUAUGGAGACCAGAGAAAGUGCCAAUUCAUCAUGCCAUUGAGUUUCAGCUCAACCCAACCCCUAUCCUUAACAAAUGUCUAACUUGUAUUUAAAUACCAAAAAAGAGUCCAAGGAGUUUAGCAAUCAAUAGUACCCUCUUUAGCUUCCAACAGGCAAAACUGGAAUCAAAUAAAUCAGAUAUAAAGCUGAAAAGAACGUUCAUUGCAACAAAUAUAUCAUUUUUUAUUGUUCUGAAGCACUUACGGCCAAAAGGAAGAUGGGAGCUUGGAUGGGCUCCAGUUAAACCCAUGAACAUACAGUGGAAGAUAAUAGUUAAUGGAUUAAAAGUUUGCAAAGUUCCUGCCUAGCAGUAACACAUAGGUGGUGGGGUUUUUUAAGUCAAGAAAAGGACCUUCAGGCCCUUGCGGGAAAGCUGCUUCCUGACCUGACUAGCUUCCAUUUGCAUACUGCAUUUGGCCAUUAACUAACUAUUAUUUUUAGCCCUUGUGUGGCACCAUCAGAGCAGACUCUGGAUUUUGGUUCUGUGUUCCCAAAGGGAUCAAUGCUGUCCGUGAACUCACCUGGCAGUUUGAGCGUGAGGAGUACUCCACCUGCUCCCGUAACUGGCUGGCUCUUAGGCAUGCAAUAAAAUGUCUAAACUGCAGAGAUUGACACUGCUGGGGAGAAUGCUGUGCUUGUCUUGGUCUGAAGUGUGGGGGAGAGCAUGAGGCAUUGUAGCUUGGUGGCUGUAUAAGCUUGCUCCGAUGCAGAGGAAGCUGGGUUUGCCAACCACCAAUUGGCCUUUUUACCGGCUCCACAUACUGUGGGCUCAUUAUGGAUCACGUACGAUACAGUGGUAAAAGUAGAUGCUUCUUGCCCUCUUACGGAUUAUGCAGGAGGGCUCAAAUGCACUCAUUUAAAUCCUAGCUCCUUCUGUUUCCUCUGAGACUUCUGGACUGUGACUGUAAGUGCAGCAGGAAGUGGGGAAGGGCAGAUGCUUAUUGAGAAGGACAAGGCCUCCUUAAUAUCUUUUGUCCAGGCAAUACUUUUCUGCACAAUGGCACACCAGUACCUGACAUAGGCCAUCAACUAGUGGUGGGUGAGGAGACCACACUUUUUUCAUGCCAGAGAACCUUAAAGAGACUGGCACAUAAGACUAAGGAUACUGCUUACCACCAAGGAGCUGUUCCUAGGGAGGCAACAGAAACUUUGUGGCACCCAAGCAGGUUCCUGCCAUUCCUGUACCAACUUCCCAGGUCACAGUAAGGCUGAUCUGUAUUCAGGAAGGGAUUUUCAUUACAGUAUAUACUCAAGUAUACAGUAUAAUGUAACGAUGGAUUGUUUUUUCCCUUUUAAUUUUACCAGCUCCCCACCUCCCAAAAAACAACCCCCAAAACAACCAAAACUCUGAAGCUGCAGUUCCCUGUUUCAGUUAAGAAUGCUGCUCUGAGCAAUUAUCCUUGACUAGAGUACUUGCCCAAUUAAAUGCCCUUUUUGAGUUUACCAUUGAGCUUGUUGCUUGUCAUCCCCUCCUAGAUAACCUGACUCUAGAAUGCUUAUUCAGCAUUGCACAUGAGAUAGAAAGGAAUCUCCAACUUGUCAAGAAAGCUGCUGAUGUUAUCAAGAGAAGCUUGAGAAUUUGAAUUAUACAAAUCAGUAGGGUAAUUUCUAAAUGCCUCAUUAAUUUCAGUAUCAUUAAGUGUAAUUUGAUCAUAUUUGGAGACAGCAGCUGUAGAAGGAGACAUGGAUUCUGCCCUCAUUCAGUAACUUAGCCAUUUCCUGGCUUUGUCUUUGGAAUCCUAUAAAAGAUUCACUUGAAGCUUACAAAGCUUAGCGCAAAUGGAAGAUAAUCAGGUAAUGAUUCUAAGGUUCAGUCCAUGCUGUCCUUGGUGCAACCCCUUAAAAAUUAAGUUGAGGGUGACUGGAUGUGAGAAUCAAAUAGUCUUGUGCUGUUGAUUAUAAGGGGCUGUCAAGUCACUAAAGCCUUUUUUGCAUGGGGGGGGGGGUGAAAUCUCAUCUUCUCCUUCAGCUUCCUUGCCACUCUCACUCUGUGUUCUGACUAUGUUUGUCCAGUUUCUUUUCUCCUUUAAAAUUUCGAAAGUAUCUUUUUGUUGGACCUUUCAGGGGUACCACUGGAGCCUUCCAUAUGUUUGUACAGUUCCUUCAUUAAUAAUAAUAAUAAUAAUAUGAUCAGUUUUACUCCCUAAGAACUAAAUAGGUUCAGUAUCUUUCAGCAGCAGGGGGGUAUUGAUUCUCCCGGGUCACCUAAGUAAUGCACAUUUCUACUGCCAAGUUGGCUGAGACAUAUGUAGCAUGGAUAACUGAAUCAAUUAUAUGGGCACAGAGAAAAUAAUAGGCAUAAAAUCCAUCCAGCCACAUGUCCUGUUGCCCCAAGUUGAACAUAUUAUAGUAAUGUCCAAAGUUCAUCAAACCCUCAAACUACAUAUGGAACACACAGGUUCUGAUUAAACCACAUUUAAAUAUCCAAUACACAACGAUGGUGAAAAAUACAAAAAAUCUGACUAGACUGGACCGAGCAAAUGUUCACCAAAAUGUUAUCAGUUGCAAAUAUAAAUAACUUAGCAAAAGCAAGAACAGCCUGGCAAAAUGUCACCACAUUUCUUGCUGUCCCUUCAAAAUGUAUUGUUGGAAACAAUAUUACUUUGUGCACUAGCAUGUUGGUAAAAAUGUCAUCUUCACACGAAAAUAUAUCCCAAAUUUGUGAGGUUUUUUUCUUUUUCUUUUUCUUUUUUUAAACUGGGUUUCUUAGGUCAUUAAGAAAGUCCAAUAUAAAUUAAUAUAAAAUUACGACUAUCGAGGAAGUUGUAUUUAAAAACCCAAGUUUUAGGUUGCACACUUAUAAAUGCAAAAGUAAAGCAUCUUGAAGAAGAGGUCCAGCCAUUUUUACACUCAACAGAGAGUACAGAGAUUUCAUAGUAGACAAGUACAACUGGAAUGUUAUGGUAUCUGUAGAAAUGGGCAUCUGGUAGGAUGCAUCUGAGAGACAAUUUACUUUUAUCACAAGAUAAACAGAACAAAAAAUCUAAAAUGAAAUUUAACCAGAAUUUGUAGAUGUGUAAUAGCAUUAAAAAUACAAUUGUUUAAAAAAAAAAAGAGCAAGACACCCAAUAAUCAUCUUGACUAUAGGGGGAACAUAAAGCCUUUAUAAAGCAGCCUAGGAAAAUUUGUCCUGAAAAUGUAUCUGCCUAGGUAUAAAAACCUGCAAAUCAACUCUUUAUAGUGUUGAGUAGACUUAAGAUUUUACUUAGUGUUUAAAAAAAACAAACAUUAACCUUAUGCAAGUGAACAUGUAGAAUUUUGUAAGGCUUUAACAAUAGUUACGCUAAGCACACUUGUAAUAUGAAAUCGUGAGGUUUGAUUUGUUUUCCCCACUAAGGUUUAAAAUCAAACACAAGGGUGUGUGAACUGUGAAUAUGCAAUCACAUAAUAAUGAGGCAAAGGGAAUUAAGAUUAACCAUAAAGAGACAUUGUCUUGGGCAUGAACUCAUAGCCUUAAGAUUAUUUAGAAACUUUAAUAUCUUGAAAACAAUAUAAAUACAUAGCCCAAAAAACUGUAUUUAAAGCAGAACAACCAACAACCCAGAUACUUUAAAAUAAGAAAAGGAUAAAUACUGCAAAAAAAAAGAAAAA